GAGGGGCAGCAGGUCUUCGGAUGCUGGCGACCGGCGCACGGGUGAGUAACACGUAUGCAACCUACCCAUAACAGGGGGAUAGCCCUAAGAAAUUGGGAUUAAUACCGCAUAAUACAGGAGUUUCGCAUGAGGCUUUUAGUUAAAGGAUUAUCGGUUAUGGAUGGGCAUGCGGAGGAUUAGGUAGUUGGUAGGGUAAUGGCCUACCAAGCCAGCGAUCCAUAGGGGCACUGAGAGGUUUGUCCCCCACACUGGUACUGAGACAGGGACCAGACUCCUACGGGAGGCAGCAGUGAGGAAUAUUGGUCAAUGGUCGGAAGACUGAACCAGCCAAGUCGCGUGAAGGAAGAGAGUACUAAGUAUUGUAAACUUCUUUUUUAAGGGAAUAAAAUUAGGGACGUGUCCUUAUUUGCAAGUACCUUGAGAAUAAGCAUCGGCUAACUCCGUGCCAGCAGCCGCGGUAAUACGGAGGAUGCGAGCGUUAUCCGGAUUUAUUGGGUUUAAAGGGUGCGUAGGUUGUCCGUUAAGUCAGCGGUGAAAGGUUUGUGCUUAACAUGAACAUUGCCGUUGAAACUGCCGGACUUGAAUAUGGACGAGGUAUGCGGAAUUCGUAGAGUAGCGGUGAAAUGCAUAGAUAUUACGAAGAACUCCGAUAGCGUAGGCAGCAUACCAGGCCAUUAUUGACACUGAAGCACGAAAGUGUGGGGAUCAAACAGGAUUAGAUACCCUGGUAGUCCACACAGUAAACGAUGAAUACUCGCUGUUUGCGAUAUAAAGUAAGCGGCCAAGCGAAAGCGUUAAGUAUUCCACCUGGGGAGUACGCCGGCAACGGUGAAACUCAAAGGAAUUGACGGGGGCCCGCACAAGCGGAGGAACAUGUGGUUUAAUUCGAUGAUACGCGAGGAACCUUACCCGGGCUCGAACGGUGUUUGAAUGUAUGAGAAAUCCUACAGCUAGCAAUAGCAAGCAUCGAGGUGCUGCAUGGUUGUCGUCAGCUCGUGCCGUGAGGUGUCGGCUUAAGUGCCAUAACGAGCGCAACCCUUACCGCCAGUUGCCAGCAUGUAAAGAUGGGGACUCUGGGGGGACUGCCACCGUAAGGUGAGAGGAAGGUGGGGAUGACGUCAAAUCAGCACGGCCCUUACGUCCGGGGCUACACACGUGUUACAAUGGGUGGGACAGCAUGUAGCGGGACAGCAAUGUUUAGCUAAUCAGUAAACCCACUCCCAGUUCGGAUCGAAGUCUGCAACCCGACUUCGUGAAGCUGGAUUCGCUAGUAAUCGCGCAUCAGCCAUGGCGCGGUGAAUACGUUCCCGGGC
rnacentral:rRNA from 1 species